rnacentral:lncRNA from 1 species
GACCGCUGAUCAUUGUGCUGGUGUUCAGUGUGAUAUUGAGCUGUGCUGCAGUGCUUGUGAUCACGCUGUGCAAAACCAGUGAGUCUUUUAGACUAUUUACUCAGCCUAUACAUUACUUAUUACAAUCAAUAUGAAACUAUUCAUUCACAUUUAUGCUCUUUUUUUUUGGCAACAAAUGAGCAGAGCGAGUGUUGCCAAGAAGUACCAGCUUAAGGAAUCUCAGACAGUCACACACUGAGAAUACAUACGCUGAGAUUCCCUGUGAAGGACCGCUGGCUCAGGCGGCUCUCAGAGAGGAUGACGUGAUCUACUCCACAGUCUCACCUGGAUAUCUUUAUCAGGUAAACUCACUACUGGCUCUACAACACACCUAGUCAGGUUAGAAUCUUACAUGG